AUUGAACGCUGGCGGCAUGCCUUACACAUGCAAGUCGGACGAGUGGCGGACGGGUGAGUAAUAUCUUGGAACGUGCCGAGUAAUGGGGGAUAACCACUCGAAACAUUGGCUAAUACCGCAUAUUAUCCGAGCGGCCCAUAUGUGAUUAGCUAGUUGGUGGGGUAAAGGCCUACCAAGGCGACGAUCCGUAGCGGGUCUGAGAGGAUGACCAGCCACACUGUGACUGAGACACGGUCCAGACUCCUACGGGAGGCAGCAGUGGGGAAUAUGGGACAAUGGGCGCAAGCCUGAUGCAGCCAUGCCGCGUGUCUGAAGAAGGCCUUCGGGUUGUAAAGGACUUUUGUUGGGGAAGCGUUACCCAAAGAAUAAGCACCGGCUAACUACGUGCCAGCCGCCGCGGUAAUUC
rnacentral:rRNA from 1 species